AUAAAGAUAGAUUAGAAAAAAAAAAAUUUGCCUUCAGUUAACUAUAUUUUUAACAUAAAGGUAUCAGCAUGGAGGACUUAGAUUACGCUACCUGUGUUUGAAAAUAAUGCGCUUUGCCUAACCUUCAGCAGAAUGUAUUGUUUUAGCAUAUUCUAUGUAUAAAAAAGUUUAAAGAUGUCUUCAAAGAAGACUAGAGUCUUUAAGUCACUUAUAGCUAUAUUUUACUACAAAAAUCGGUGUAUAAAGAUAUAUUUAAGUGUUUUAGAUAAAUUUAAGUUACUCCAUAUGAAAUGUUUAAUUUCAGUUACUGUGAAUUCUUUUGAUCAGUUCUUUGCUUUUUAAAAAUCCCUAUCCAUCCUGUUAAAAAGAAAAUUAACUAUUAAGAGGUAUUAAAAGAUUCAAUUCUUAGAUGGACAGGGUUUAAAACCUUUUGUAAUAUAUUCAAAUGUAUAUUUUUGAGAGAGAUGCUGCAUUGCCAAUGCCUGUUAUAGCAUUUCCAAUUGCUUCAUACUUCACAGUUUUAAUGAAUACAAAGUAUAAGCUCUACUUUAUAACACAUCCUGUAG
rnacentral:lncRNA from 1 species